GAAUAGGUAGCUCAGUGGUAGAGCACAUCUGAAAAGAUGAAACAAUGGUUCGAAUCCAUUCCUAUUGCU
rnacentral:tRNA from 1 species